rnacentral:rRNA from 1 species
GUCUUUUAGAAUAUAAUUUAAAGUCUAACCUGCCCACUGAAUUUUUUUGAAGGGCCGCGGUAUUUUGACUGUGCAAAGGUAGCAUAAUCAUUAGUCUUUUAAUUGGAGGCUUGUAUGAAUGGUUGGAUGAAACAUUAACUGUCUCAAUAUAAUAAAAAUAGAAUUUAAUUUUUAAGUUAAAAAGCUUAAAUAAUAUUAGAGGACGAGAAGACCCUAUAGAUCUUUAUAAUUGAUUUUUUAUUAUUUAUAUAGAAUAUUAAUUAGUAUUAAUUAAUUAAUUAUUUUAUUGGGGUGAUAAAUAAAUUUAGUAAACUUUAUUUAAUUUAAACAUUUAUUUAUGAAUAAUUGAUCCAUUAUUAGUGAUUAAAAGAUUAAGUUACCUUAGGGAUAACAGCGUAAUUUUUUUAGAGAGUUCUUAUCGAUAAAAAAGUUUGCGACCUCGAUGUUGAAUUAAAGGUUAAUUUUAGGUGUAGAAGUUUAAAGUUUUGGUCUGUUCGACCAUUAAAUC